rnacentral:rRNA from 1 species
GGGGGGGGGGGGGGGGGGGCGGGGGGGGGGGGGGGCGGGGGGAGGGGCGCGGGUGUGGGGGGGUGCUGGCGUGGCGCGCGGGGGCGUCGCACGUGGGUCACCUGCCCUUGCCUGGGGGAUGACUGCCGGGCACUGGGGGUGCUACCGUACAGGCGCUCCUGCUGCGUGGUGGCUGGUGAGCCCUUUCGGCGGUUGGGGAUGGACUCGCGGCUUAUCAGGUUGUUGGUGGGGUAGUGGCUUACCAAGGCUUGGACGGGUAGCCGGCCUGAGAGGGUGACCGGCCACAUUGGGACUGAGAUACGGCCCAGACUCCUACGGGGGGCAGCAGUGGGGAAUAUUGCACAAUGGGCGGAAGCCUGAUGCAGCAACGCCGCGUGCGGGAUGACGGCCUUCGGGUUGUAAACCGCUUUCGCCUGUGACGAAGCGUGAGUGACGGUAAUGGGUAAAGAAGCACCGGCUAACUACGUG